UUACAGAAAGACCCAAGCUGAGAACCUAGAAGGGUAGAAGGAAAAUAUAUUUUUCCUCUUUUAUUAUGAAAGAAAACUGUCCACUCAGAAUGAAGUAAUAUGAAGAAAACUGAUGAUAAAUAUGUGCUGACAGAAUUAACUACCAACACUCUUACCAAAGAGAAUUUUAAAAUGAGUCCUUCAGGAAGAAAAGCAAUCCCAUUUUGAAAGUCUAAGAUUAAAAAAAAAAGGGUCUCCCUCUGCCACCUGGGAUGCAGUGCAGUGGCCUGACCACAGGUAAUUGCAGCCUCCUCAUCGCAGGCUCAAGCGAUCCUCCCACCUCAGCUUCCCAAAUAGCUGGGACU
rnacentral:lncRNA from 1 species